CCACGGGUGGCAGCAGUGGGGAAUAUUGGACAAUGGGCGAAAGCCUGAUCCAGCCAUGCCGCGUGUGUGAAGAAGGCCUUCGGGUUGUAAAGCACUUUCAGUGGGGAAGAAAGCCUUGGGGCUAAUACCCUCGAGGAAGGACAUCACCCACAGAAGAAGCACCGGCUAACUCCGUGCCAGCAGCCGCGGUAAUACGGAGGGUGCGAGCGUUAAUCGGAAUUACUGGGCGUAAAGCGCGCGUAGGCGGUCUGAUAAGCCGGUUGUGAAAGCCCCGGGCUCAACCUGGGAACGGCAUCCGGAACUGUCAGGCUAGAGUGCAGGAGAGGAAGGUAGAAUUCCCGGUGUAGCGGUGAAAUGCGUAGAGAUCGGGAGGAAUACCAGUGGCGAAGGCGGCCUUCUGGACUGACACUGACGCUGAGGUGCGAAAGCGUGGGUAGCAAACAGGAUUAGAUACCCCUGUAGUC
rnacentral:rRNA from 1 species